CCCAUCAGCCCGUCGGAUAGAUGGAGCCUUUGGCGUUCUCAUUGUGAGACUUACGUUACUACCGAUUGAAUGGCACGCAAUAACAGGUCUGUGAUGCCCUUAGAUGUUCUGGGCCGCACGCGCGCUACACUGACAGAGCCAGCGAGUUUAUAACCUUGGCCGGAAGGUCUGGGUAAUCUUGUGAAACUCUGUCGUGCUGGGGAUAGAGCAUUGCAAUUCUUGCUCUUCAACGAGGAAUUCCUAGUAAGCGUGAGUCAUCAGCUCGCGUUGAUUACGUCCCUGCCCUUUGUACACACCGCCCGUCGCUACUACCAUUUGAAUGGCUAAAA
rnacentral:rRNA from 1 species